rnacentral:rRNA from 1 species
GAUGAACGCUGGCGGCGUGCUUAACACAUGCAAGUCGAACGAAGCAUUUGCGACAGAUUUCUUCGGAUUGAAGUUGCUUAUGACUGAGUGGCGGACGGGUGAGUAACGCGUAUCCAACCUGCCUCAAAGAGGGGGACAACAGUUGGAAACGACUGCUAAUACCGCAUAAGCCCGCAGCUCGGCAUCGAGCAGAGGGAAAAGGAGUGAUCCGCUUUGAGAUGGCCUCGCGUCCGAUUAGCUAGUUGGUGAGGUAACGGCCCACCAAGGCGACGAUCGGUAGCCGGACUGAGAGGUUGAAACGGCCACAUUGGGACUGAGACACGGCCCAGACUCCUACGGGAGGCAGCAGUGGGGAAUAUUGCACAAUGGGGGAAACCCUGAUGCAGCGACGCCGCGUGGAGGAAGAAGGGUCUUCGGGAAUUGUAAAACUCCUGUUGUUGAGGAAGAUAAAGUGACGGUACUCAACAAGGAAGUGACGGCUAAC